UAAUACAGAGGGUGCGAGCGUUAAUCGGAAUCACUGGGCUUAAAGGGUCCGUAGGCGGGACUGCAGGCGUCGAGUGAAAUACCACGGCUCAACCGUGGAACUGCUCGGCGAACCGCAGUCCUUGAGGCGAGUAGAGGCGAUCAGAACGAUAGGUGGAGCGGUGAAAUGCGUAGAUAUCUAUCGGAAUGCCGAAGGUGAAGACAGGUCGCUGGGCUCGUCCUGACGCUGAGGGACGAAAGCGUGGGAGCAAACGGGAUUAGAUACCCCGGUAGUCCACGCCGUAAACAAUGCGCACUGGGUCGGAGAGGUUUGACGCCUUUCUGGCCGAAGCAAAGUGUUAAGUGUGCCGCCUGGGGAGUACGGUCGCAAGGCUAAAACUCAAAGGAAUUGACGGGGGCUCACACAAGCGGUGGAGCAUGUGGCUUAAUUCGAAGCAACGCGAAGAACCUUACCCCAGGCUUGACAUCCAAGUAUUAGUCCUAUGAAAGUAGGAUGACAGUCGCAA
rnacentral:rRNA from 1 species